CAACUUUUCAAAGCUCUAGCGAAAGCAACGUGACUCAAUCGUUUCGUCGCGAGCGUGAUAAGAGCGAAAGCGUAGCGUAGCACAGAUCGCCUGUUGCUGACCUCGUAACGUGAAGUUCAACUUUUUAGUGAUUACGGUGGAACUAUGUCAGCUUUCAGAGUUUAACAUCAUCGCUAUGAAUUGUUUUAGUGUGCGUGCUGUCGAACUCCGAAAUUUCGGUGAACAGUUCAGUGAUUCAAGUGCUGCAGAAAUUCUUCGUGUGGGAUAAUUACUAUCAAUGGCUCGCUGAUUUUCUCGUUCAGCUACUCCCUGAUGGAAAAUGUUGCUAUCUUACGAGCGGUACCUGAUUUCCGCGUGCCUUCUACGGAUUGUUCUUCCAGCUUGCCUUUUGAUAUGUGUAUGCCUGAAACAGAACGCAUUAUGCACUGUUUACCUGCUCAUUCUUCUAGUCAUACCUUUUAUACCGGUCCCCACUCAUGUUUCCAUGAGAAGUAAGUUUUGAACAGAACUAAUACUCGCAUGCUAAAAACCUCGCUAAUUUUUCCUCGAAUGUGGGGAAAACUCGGGAAACGGUUUCUGG
rnacentral:lncRNA from 1 species